CAGUAUCCUACAGUGCCCCCCAGUGCCCUCCCAGUCCCCCCCAGUAACACCCACUGUCCUCCCAGUCCCUCCCAGUAUGCCCUAGUACCUCCCCAGUGCCCCCAGUCCCUCCCAGUAAUCCCUCCAGUAGUCUCCCAGUAUGAUACAGUCCCUCCCAGUCCCUCCCAGUACCCCCCCAACCCCAAAUCCAAGACUCCAGCUCCAUCUCCACCUUUAUUGCCCCCAUUCCCACCCGGGGGGGGGGUCUGGGGGGUGACCCCAGGUGUUCCCAGGUGUGCCCAGGUGUGCCCAGGUGCUGUUCCAGGUAUGUCCUGGUGCUGUUCCAGGUGUGUCCAGAUGUCUCCAGAUGUCUCCAGGUGCAUCCAGGUGUGCUCAGGUGCCGUUCCAUGUGUGCUCAGGUGUGCUCAGGUGCUGUUCCAGGUGUCCCCCGCUGUGUCCAGGUGCUGUUCCAGGUGUCCCCAGGUGCUGUUCCAGGUGUGCCCAGGUGCUGUCCCAGGUGCUGAUCCCGGGGGCUCAGUGCUCGUCCCCCCGCUCGCCCAGGGCCAGCAGCAGCAGCAGCCCCCAGCCCCCGAGCAGCCCCAGGCUCUGCAGCGCCAGCAGCGCCCAGGGCCGGCGGCUGCGCACCGACAGCAUGGCCGGCACCUGCGGGACACCUGAGCGUCACCUGGGGGCACCUGGGAUACCUGAGCGUCACCUGGGGGCACCUGGGAUACCUGAGCGUCACCUGGGGGCACCUGGGAUAC
rnacentral:lncRNA from 12 species